rnacentral:rRNA from 1 species
AACGAACGCUGGCGGCAUGCCUAACACAUGCAAGUCGAACGAGACCUUCGGGUCUAGUGGCGCACGGGUGCGUAACGCGUGGGAACCUGCCCUUAGGUUCGGAAUAACUCCCCGAAAGGGGUGCUAAUACCGGAUAAUGUCUUCGGACCAAAGAUUUAUCGCCUUUGGAUGGGCCCGCGUUGGAUUAGCUAGUUGGUAGGGUAAAAGCCUACCAAGGCGACGAUCCAUAGCUGGUCUGAGAGGAGGAUCAGCCACACUGGGACUGAGACACGGCCCAGACUCCUACGGGAGGCAGCAGUGGGGAAUAUUGGACAAUGGGCGAAAGCCUGAUCCAGCAAUGCGGCGUGAGUGAUGAAGGCCGUAGGGUUGUAAAGCUCUUUUACCCGGGAUGAUAAUGACAGUACCGGGAGAAUAAGCGCCGGCUAACUCCGUG